GGGCUCUUGGCGCAACGGUAGCGCGCCUGCAUGGCAUGCAGGAGGUUGCGGGUUCAAAAUGCGCAAAAUGCA
rnacentral:tRNA from 1 species